UACGAAGGGGGGCUAGCGUUGCUCGGAAUCACUGGGCGUAAAGCGCACGUAGGCGGAUUGCUAAGUCAGGGGUGAAAUCCUGGAGCUCAACUCCAGAACUGCCUUUGAUACUGGGCGACUGAGUCCGGGAGAGGUGAGUGGAACUCGACGAGUGAGUGGUAAAAUUCGUAGAUAUUCGGCAAAGAACACCAGUGGCGAAGGCGGCUCACUGGCCCGGUACUGACGGCUGAGGCGCGAAAGCGUGGGGAGCAAACAGGAUUAGAACCGGACC
rnacentral:rRNA from 1 species